rnacentral:rRNA from 1 species
CCUACGGGUGGCAGCAGUGAGGAAUAUUGGUCAAUGGGCGGAAGCCUGAACCAGCCAAGUAGCGUGCAGGAUGAUGGCUCUACGGGUUGUAAACUGCUUUUAUACGGGAAUAACGCGCCUUACGUGUAGGGCUUUGCAUGUACCGUAUGAAUAAGGACCGGCUAAUUCCGUGCCAGCAGCCGCGGUAAUACGGAGGGUCCGGGCGUUAUCCGGAUUUAUUGGGUUUAAAGGGAGCGUAGGCCGCAUGUCAAGCGUGCUGUGAAAUGUCCGGGCUCAACCCGGGCCUUGCAGCGCGUACUGGCGUGCUAGAGUCCGCGGAAAGCAGGCGGAAUGCGUCGUGUAGCGGUGAAAUGCUUAGAUAUGACGAAGAACCCCGAUUGCGAAGGCAGCUUGCUACAGCAGAACUGACGCUGAUGCUCGAAAGCGCGGGUAUCGAACAGGAUUAGAUACCCCUGUAGUC